GCUGCUCCUAAAGGCAUUGCAGAUGUGGCUGUGUGUCCAUGGCCAUGUCCCCAGAUGGCAGAGAGAAGGAAGGUAGGCUUGUCCACACCCAAUACUCUGACCCAGGAGCUAUGAUGGUUAGUAGUCUGACCCU